rnacentral:rRNA from 1 species
UGCUAUCGGUGUUCGCCUAAGCCAUGCGAGUCAUAUGUUCUUCGUGAACAUGGCGUACUGCUCAGUAACACGUGGAUAACCUGCCCUUGGGUCCGGCAUAACCCCGGGAAACUGGGGAUAAUUCCGGAUAACGCAUAUAUGCUGGAAUGCUUUAUGCGUGAAAUGGAUUCGUCUGCCCAAGGAUGGGUCUGCGGCCUAUCAGGUAGUAGUGGGUGUAAUGUACCUACUAGCCGACGACGGGUACGGGUUGUGAGAGCAAGAGCCCGGAGAUGGAUUCUGAGACAUGAAUCCAGGCCCUACGGGGCGCAGCAGGCGCGAAAACUUUACAAUGCGGGAAACCGUGAUAAGGGGACACCGAGUGCCAGCAUCAUAUGCUGGCUGUCCAGGUGUGUAAACUACACCUGUUAGCAAGGGCCGGGCAAGACCGGUGCCAGCCGCCGCGGUAACACCGGCGGCCCGAGUGGUGAUCGUGAUUAUUGGGUCUAAAGGGUCCGUAGCCGGUUUG